ACUGGAAAACUGUUCAGUUCUGUGGCUUUUACGGGCCAUGUAGACAGAGGAAGGGGGCUAAGAUGUGUAAGGGAAUCAAAACCAUUUCAUUUCUCUUUGUGCUUACUGGCCAGCCGUGUCUCCUCUUCUGUGACUGCUCCUGUACUCUGCCCAUUUAUCUCCACAUGAUUUGAAGAACAGCAGAGAUCUUAGAACGAUCUACUUCAGUGAUUCUCAAGAGAAAAGAAACACUCUCCCCUGGGAGUGCACAGAAAAAUUACCUCAGGGACUUUUUUUUUUUUUUUUUUUUUUUUGAGACAGAGUCUCGCUCUGUCGCCCAGGCUGGAGUACAGUGGUGCGAUCUUGUCUCACUGCAAGCUCCACCUCCCGGGUUCACACCAUUCUCCUGCCUCAGCCUCCCGAGUAGCUGGGGCUACAAGCGCCCACCACCAUGCCCGGCUAAUUUUUUGUAUUUUUAGUACAGACGGGGUUUCACCGUGUUAGCCAGGACGGUCUCGAUCUCCUCACCUUGUGAUCCGUCCGCCUCGGCCUCCCAGGGAGCUGGGAUUACAGGCGUGAACCACCGCGUACGCCGCAUUCUUUUAUUUUUUUAUUUUUAUUUAUUUAUUUAUUUUGGGAUGGAGUCUCGCUCUGUCGCCCGGGCUGGAGUGCAGUGGUGCGAUCUCGGCUCACUGCAAGCUCCGCCUCCUGGGUUCAUGACAUUCUCCUGCCUCAGCCUCCCUAGUAGCUGGGACUACAGGCGCCCGCGACCACGCCCGGCUAAUUUUUUUGUAUUUUUUAGUAGAGACGGGGUUUCACCAUGUUAGCCAGGAUGGUCUCGAUCUCCUGACCUCGUGAUCCACCCACCUCGGCCUCCCAAAGUGCUGGGAUUACAGGCGUGAGCUCAGGGACUUUUUUAAAAGGACUUCCAAUGCCAUGCCCUUUCUCCCUCUCCUGGCCACUGAGAUGUAUUCCCAUAGGGACAGUCAAGACCCUAUGGAAACACUGCUAUGGAUGAGGGUCCUAAGGAACGGAAACAGCUGAGAAUCAUGGAUCUAAUGAAACUCCUUCAUUGUAGAGAUGAAGACACUGAAGCCUUGGAGGCUCACAUGACUUAACACCGACAACUGACUUAUUGUCGGGUCACCCUGCACACCCAGGCCUAGUGCCCCCUCCAUCCAGCCGCAUGGCUCUGCCUGACGGUUCUGUUUAUCCAAUGGGAAGGCAUUCAUGUCAAACAGCCUUUGUGUUAAAGCAGGAAGCUCUGUGCUGGAUGACAAGGUCAGGGUUUUUAAGGUCCCCAAACAAAAUACAACUUUCUACGAAAUAAUGUAAAAUCAGCAUUUGCCUUCAACUGCUCAAGGAACUGGGUGAUUGGCCAUGCCAGAUGGUAUGGCUCUCACUUGCCGCAACACCUACUGGAGGCUAACAGAGCAAGGCAACACAGAGAGGCUGAGCUUGGGAAACAAGCAAGUGAAGACACAAGAUCUG
rnacentral:lncRNA from 10 species